UACGGAGGGUGCAAGCGUUAUCCGGAUUCACUGGGUUUAAAGGGUGCGUAGGUGGAAUGGUAAGUCAGUGGUGAAAAUCUCCAAGCUUAACUUGGAAACUGCCGUUGAUACUAUCAUUCUUGAAUAUCGUGGAGGUAAGCGGAAGUAUGAUCGAUGUAGCGGUGAAAUGCUUAGAUAUGACAUAGAACACCGAUUGCGAAGGCAGCUUGCUACACGAUCAUUGACACUGAGGCACGAAAGCGUGGGGAUCAAACAGG
rnacentral:rRNA from 1 species